rnacentral:rRNA from 1 species
CCUACGGGAGGCAGCAGUGGGGAAUUUUGGACAAUGGGGGCAACCCUGAUCCAGCCAUUCCGCGUGAGUGAAGAAGGCCUUCGGGUUGUAAAGCUCUUUCGCAAGGGAAGAAAAGAUAUAGGUUAAUAGCCUGUGUUGUUGACGGUACCUUGACAAGAAGCACCGGCUAACUACGUGCCAGCAGCCGCGGUAAUACGUAGGGUGCGAGCGUUAAUCGGAAUUACUGGGCGUAAAGCGUGCGCAGGCUGUUUGGCAAGUCAGAUGUGAAAUCCCCGAGCUCAACUUGGGAACUGCGUUUGAAACUGCCAGACUAGAAUAGGUCAGAGGGGGGUAGAAUUCCACGUGUAGCAGUGAAAUGCGUAGAGAUGUGGAGGAAUACCAAUGGCGAAGGCAGCCCCCUGGGAUCAUAUUGACGCUCAUGCACGAAAGCGUGGGGAGCGAACAGGAUUAGAUACCCUGGUAGUCCACGCCCUAAACGAUGUCAACUAGUUGUUGGUGGAGUAAAAUCCAUGAGUAACGUAGCUAACGCGUGAA